GGCUCAGUGGUCUAGUAGUAUGAUUCUCGCUUCGGGUUUCCCGACUUUAUGAAGUUGAGCAUGCGAGAGGUCCCGGGUUCAAUUCCCGGCUGAGCCC